rnacentral:rRNA from 1 species
CACCAUUUGGUGGGGUUGGGGUCACACCCGAAGUCGUAUUGGAGAAUUGAGCGGAACUACUUCCAUGUGCACUCUUUUAUCGGGUCAGGAAGCCCUGUUUUUGAAGCAGGAAGACCUCUUCGUCAUCACACCACACACGCAAUCGGCCACUAA